rnacentral:rRNA from 1 species
GUAACGCGUAGGUAACCUGCCUUGUAGCGGGGGAGUAACUAUUGGAAACGAUAGCUAAUACCGCAUAACAAUGGAUGACACAUGUCAUUUAUUUGUAAAGGGGCAAUUGCUCCACUACAAGAUGGACCUGCGUUGUAUUAGCUAGUAGGUGAGGUAAUGGCUCACCUAGGCGACGAUACAUAGCCGACCUGAGAGGGUGAUUGGCCACACUGGGACUGAGACACGGCCCAAACUCCUACGGGAGGCAGCAUG